GGAGUGGUCGGUUGGUUAUCGUUACCACUAUUCAUUACCAGUAACCGGCGCUUUGUAAUUUAUAACGAUAAAAUGUCAUUAAAUUUAUUAUAUCCAGAUAACAUAACGGAGGAUUAUCUACGUCAUCAAUUUUAUUUCAAAUAUUUAACGGGUUUCCGGAUGCCGAACCUCAAUGUACUAAAACCGGCCACGUGGUUAUGUCACAUAAUACCCAAUUUUGAUAUCUUCAUACACCCCACAGGGUGAGAGAUUUUUAUUAUGUUACAAUAGUAAUAUAAUAACAUUAAUGAGCCGAAGAGUUCUUGCUGAGAUGGAGCUGUUGCUGUGCUGUUUUGUUGAAGAUUAAACUGC